GACGAACGCUGGCGGCGUGCUUAACACAUGCAAGUCGAACGGAAAGGCCCUGCUUUUGUUGGGUUCUCGAGUGGCGAACGGGUGAGUAACACGUGAGUAACCUGCCCUUGACUUUGGGAUAACUUCAGGAAACUGGGGCUAAUACCGGAUAGGAGCUCCUGCUGCAUGGUGGGGGUUGGAAAGUUUCGGCGGUUGUGGCUGGACUCGCAGCUUAUGAGCUUGUUAGUGAAGUAGUGGAUUACCAAGGUUUUGAAUGGUAGCCCGCGUUAGAGGUUGACCAGCCACAAUACUACUGAGAUACGCCCCAGACUCCUACGGUACGCAAUAGUCGAAAAUAUUACACAAUAACCCCAAGCCUGAUACAACAACGCCGCGUGCGUAAUAACGUCUUUCGAGUUAUAAACCACUUUCUCAUUAAACAAAGCCUUAUUGACGGUAAUUAAUAAAAAAGCACCGGCUAACUACGUG
rnacentral:rRNA from 1 species